GCAAUAUUUCCUUCGGAAACUACUGGUGGUUAGAACUGAUACAUGAUUGGAACAUUAUGUUUUAAUUUUUGUGCGCAUAAAUUUUUUAGAACCCACCAAAAGUAUAGCAACGUUAGUGAAGGAAGAGAACCAGGGUAAAGAUGCAAUACCAAAAUGACUGUAAGGUUGCUCUGGAUGCAUAUGAUUCCAGCUCUGAUCAUUGUCGUUAUCAAACAUUUGUGCGGUGUUAAAUAUAUGUCUAUGAUCCAUAUGCAACCUCGAAGUUCAAGAUAAUUUAUGUUUUGAACCCUGCACAUAAACAUAAUCCCAUAAAUCAAAGUCAUUCCAGCAGAAAUGACUCAGAUGCAAUAUAAAUGUAUGCUUCCAUGACUCCAUUGGAUUUAUCAGUACAAAAGCACUAGGUCUGUUGCCUUUUAUAUAGCAAAAGGACUCGAUUAUACUUUAGCAAAGAAUACAUAACAGACAAGGAAUCAACAAUAACUGCUUAAAAUACAAGUCAACAAAGGAGUUCAGUAAGUACAGUGUGUAGUAUAGUAGGGAAACGAAUAGCAAUCUUCAAUUAACAAGCCUUUCUGAGAAUUCAUGGAAAGCAGCUAAGAAAAGGAAGCUUGCAUUUGAUAUUUGAAGAAAAUUUCUAGUCUCUCACAUGGAUGAGAGAUAUAAAUCUCCUCUUAUCCCUAACUUCCGUAUAAAUUCAAGUACAUUCCUAAAUUAUUAAAACGUUUUAUGUUAGAGUAUUAUGUAAUGUACUACAUAUUUGGACUUCAGAAUUUCUUCUCAUACAUGUAAGCUUAUAUCUAUAUCCACGUAUGCAUACACAUAUCCCCUAUUAUAGGAUGAUGUUAUAGGGAUGUCCAGAGAACUAGAAGAACCGUUAACCAGACCAGACCGAACCGCAUGGGUUGGUCUAGUUCUACAGUCUAAAUGGUCUAGUUUUGGUUCUCAAAAAUAGAGAGCCGGUCUAUAAAGCUUGGUUCGGGUUUUUUAUUCCAUAACCGUGAUUCGAACAAGUCCGACCGGUUUUUAUAGGUCUAUAUAUGUGUAUAAGUUGAACCCUUCCUAACCAUAAUUUCUGUUGCCACGCUAUAUAAAGUUCUCACUUCUCCUUUCACUUCUAUCUUGGGUUUUAAUCUGUGCAUGUUUUGUUUAGUUUCUUCUGGUGGACUUUGAUGUUAAUCACAGCUCAAUAGAGUUAAGGAAAAAGUAAAAACUAAAGUGGUUAUCAAAAUUAAAGGGUAAAGUCCACUUUGCACCCUUACAUUUUGACUAAAAAGACACUUUGCACCCCACACCUCAAGAGUGGACAAUCAACACCAUACAUUUUGAGUCAAUGUCAGCUCUCCCCCUUCCAUCAGACUCUCAUCGAAAAACCAAACGGAAGGAUAUCAAGUGAGGCUUAGCCCCCAUUUUUUGGGGUAUUAUAUAUAGUUUCACUGUUUUAUUCCCACUUAAUCAUAUGUCAUUCUAUUUGGACCCAAAAACUUUUUCUUAGCCCCAAUUUUUUUUUUUUUGAUAAAUUUCACUGCCUUCCCUAAGGUCAGUACGCUUUGAUUAAGAGUACUUAAAAAGUAAACUAUUUAGAUCAAUCACUUUUUUUAUAAUGAAUUUGGAUAACAAAGUUUUAUUUUUUAACAGUACUUAAAAUGUAAACUAUUUAAAUCAAUCUUUUUGUUAAAAAUUACUUAUUGAUAAAAAAAAGUAGAGUUGUUUAUAAAUAAUUGAUGUUUUGAGAAAAAAGAUAAUGUUUAUUCAUUUUAAUUGGUGUAUUCAGAAAAAAAAAAUAGAAUACUUAAAUUUAAGGGCAAUCUUACCAUUUUUUCCAAAAAACAAUUAGCUAUAAUGGAGAAUCUUGAUAGUAGUGUCAAAAGUAAGGAAGGUCAGUGCUACCUCAGAAACUACAAGAGAGGUGGUUGUAAUUGUCAGAAACCUCAAGGAAGGUCAAUUAAAUUUACCCAAAAAAAAUUGGGGCCAGAGAGAAAUUUCUUGGGUACAACUAAAAUGACACGUAAUUGAGUAGGAACAAAACAGUGAAAUUACCUAUAACGUCCCCCAAAAUGGGGUCUGAGCCUCACUUGUUGUCCUUCCGUUUGAUUUUUGGACAUAAUGGGAGAGAGCAAACCUUGACUCAAAGUAUAUGGUGUUAAUUGUCCACUUUUGAGGUGUAGGAUGCAAAGUGUCUUUUUAGUGCAAGGGGGCAAACUGGACUUUACCCAAAUUAAAAAUAAAAAGUUAGGCAUUUAUGUAGAGGUAAUUAACCCCAAGGGGUUAGCGAGAGUGGUAGUCACCAGGCCUUUAGUCUGGGAUUCGACUCUACCCGUGUGCUAUCAAUUCCUUUGUUUGGCUAGUCCAUACGGGGCUUUGCCUUGACUUUAAAUGGGCUCCCUGCUUGUGGACGGUGGGAUUGAUAAUUCCACCGGAUUAGUCAGUCUAGUGGACCGGUUACCAAGUUAUCAAAAAAAAUGUUAUGUAGAGGUAAUUCGGGAAUACGAACGGAGCUUCA
rnacentral:lncRNA from 1 species